ensembl:lncRNA
GCAUUGUGUGUUUUCUCUCCUGAUUGGACCCGGAGUGUUUUAUGUACCUACUUUUGUAACGUCACAGUUGAUAUGCAGCUAAGUAAUAAAUUCCAAGAAUGAACUACAGUUGAAGUUGAUUUGCAACAGAAUGUUUUGACAGCUUGUUUUGACACUAUGACAAUGAGAGAGGAGAGUGUCCUCAAGGAUAAUGUUUUAUUUGACCCUUAAAAAUAUGGUCACCUGAUACUUCUUAGGAAGAUGGUAAUCAUAAUUGAAGAAAAAAGAAAAAUUGACAGAAAUUAAUAAGUGGAAGAGCUCAGUGACUGAGAACUUUGGACUUCAAAACCCUCUAGAAAUAAAAACUUUCCAUCUGUGCUUAAGACUAGAGGUCAAGUAUUCAUUGACUAAUAAAGAUCCCCCCUCAACUAGAAAACGCCCUUUGAAAUCCAAUUAACUCUUUUACACAG